rnacentral:lncRNA from 1 species
GUAUCUGGAAAAGCAGGUAACUGAAACCAGGAAAAAUGAACCCCUGGGAAAGGAGGUGCGGACUAAUUCAUGUGCAAAGCUGUGGAAAGGGUUACAGGGGAAUGCUGUUCACAAGGAUGGAUGGAGACAUUGGCACCACUUGCAAAGCUGCUCUAGUGCCACAGGAAGCUGCCUGUGCAGAUGUGCUGCAAGCUGCUGGCCAUCAGGUACUACUUACUGGCUGCCACAUGCUGCAGGAGUUGGGUACCAUGGGAUCCAUGUGUGUUGCAGGAACCUGGGAUAGAACCACAUCAGAAUGAGGAAGAGAAACCCCUAUCACCUCCAGUGUCCCUCUAGCAUCCUCUACUGAUAAAGCUUAACAUCACGCUAGCUGGCCGAGUCCAGGAGUAGGAGCCAACAAAGAAAGAGGCUCGCUCUCUCCACCAGGCUGGAGUGCAAUGACACAAUCUUGGCUCACUGCAAGCUCCGUCUCCCAGGCUCAAGAAAUUCUCCUGCCUCAGCCUCUCAAGCAGCUGGGAUUACAGGCGUGUGCUACCGUGCCCGUCUAAUUUUUGUACUUUUAGUAGAGACUGGGUUUCACCAUGUUGGCCGGGCUGGUCUUGAACUCCUGACCUCAGGUAAUCCGCCCACUUCGGCCUCCCAAAGUGCUGGGAUUACAGGCGUGAGCCAUCGCGCUUGGCCAUGUGCCUAACUUCUUACUAGAUGCAAGUAACUGUGGACAUUCCCAGCACAUUCCUGAGUGCUUAAUGGUCAGUUUUCUCAGGUAUGUCAAACUCUUGCAGGCUCAUGUUUUAGAUCUGAGAUACAUCCAAACUGUAUGUUACCUUUCACCCAUAACAUAUUUGGACUUAUAAAGAGGAAUUAUUUAAAAUUCUAAUUCUCACUUGGAGAAAUGUGCAAGGAUUUCUAAAAUCUGUGUUAUACCGGAUUCACUACUGCAUCUUGCCCACUUUUACUAAACUUGGUCUUAGAACUUAGUGUCAGGAACUGGUCUCUCUGGUUUAUCUUUGUCCUUUCCCCCUACUUUAGACUUGUGGACAAUAUAAUGUAGUGCUUAAGAAUGUGUUGGCAGUCCUGAGAAUGUGCCAUAUGGAACUUGAGAGAUAGGGAGCAUAAUGGACCAUGGGCCACAGAUGCUGUGUUCAAGAACUCACGGCUUCACUUGCACUGACACACACCUCCCACUGGCUGCUCCUGGUUACUGACUAAGCACAGUAGGGAGCUAAAGGGAAGCCCUGUCCUGGGAGACAGGGAACUCCUCUAAUGGCAACUUUGGCCUGAGGACUGUCUGAUGGUCUUGCCAAACCUUCCUUAGAUUGCCUUGCUGUCCAGAUCACUUGCAUCCACCCUUUCCUUUCCUUUUUAAAAAUUCUGUAAUGACUUAUAUAGUAGUUUGACAUCUCUCCAAUUCUUUUCUGACUUCUUUCUCAUUUUACCAUAGA